AGAGUUUGAUCAUGGCUCAGAUUGAACGCUGGCGGCAUUGCUUUACACAUUGCAAGUCGAGCGGCAGCGCGGGGGCAACCCUGGCGGCGAGCGGCGAACGGGUGAGUAAUACAUCGGAACGUGUCCCGUAGUGGGGGAUAACCCGGCGAAAGCCGGACUAAUACCGCAUAUGCUCUACGGAGGAAAGUGGGGGACCCGCAAGGGCCUCACGCUAUGGGAGCGGCCGAUGUCCGAUUAGCUUGUUGGUGAGGUAACGGCUUACCAAGGCGACGAUCGGUAGCUGGUCUGAGAGGAUGAUCAGCCACACUGGGACUGAGACACGGCCCAGACUCCUACGGGAGGCAGCAGUGGGGAAUUUUGGACAAUGGGGGCAACCCUGAUCCAGCCAUGCCGCGUGCGGGAAGAAGGCCUUCGGGUUGUAAACCGCUUUUGUCCGGAAAGAAAAGGCAUUCCCUAAUACGGAGUGCUCUUGACGGUACCGGAAGAAUAAGCACCGGCUAACUACGUGCCAGCAGCCGCGGUAAUACGUAGGGUGCGAGCGUUAAUCGGAAUUACUGGGCGUAAAGCGUGCGCAGGCGGUUCGUGAUGUCUGAUGUGAAAGCCCCGGGCUUAACCUGGGAAUGGCAUUGGAAACUAGCGGGCUGGAGUGUGGCAGAGGGGGGUGGAAUUCCACGUGUAGCAGUGAAAUGCGUAGAGAUGUGGAGGAACACCGAUGGCGAAGGCAGCCCCCUGGGCUAACACUGACGCUCAUGCACGAAAGCGUGGGGAGCAAACAGGAUUAGAUACCCCCGUAGUCC
rnacentral:rRNA from 1 species